ACAGACCGUCCAUGAAUGCAGUUUAUUCGUUUCCAGGUGAUGCAGACAGACCAGAGGAUGCUGACCACGAGAGACAGACCUAUUCCUAACAUCAGUGAACUUCAGCAUGGACUCAAAGGAAAGGACAUACCUGAAGGACACAACUGCCUCACCGUUUUCUCAGAGGGGCAAGAAGAAAAUGAAAAGCUGAUUUCAGAUUAAAGACCAAUACAGGACAUUCACUAAGAAACUACACUUUUAUUGUGAACACAAAGUCAAACAGGACCAUCAUUUGUUUGUGACAGCUGAGCCCAGUAUGUGCUCACAGAUGCAGUUAGGGGGUUUCUUCAUCAGGCCUGGGCCUCCUCCCAAAGAAAGACCUCUCCACCUCAGUCCUCUCCAGCCAAACCCACAGACAGGACAUCCG